rnacentral:misc_RNA from 1 species
AUUAGGAUCAGUCUGAUAGUAGACGACUUCUCCAUCAUCACUCACAUAGUGAUCUUCUCUUAUGCUUUUUACUAGGUUUCUGAACAAGUGAAAUGGAAAUGGUCCAGAUUUGUUUGGCUCUCUAUAGUACUUUCCAAGCACUGGCUUAGCAGCCUUUGUCUACAAUGCAAAGAAUCAAACUAUGAAAAUCAUCCGUUCCAAAUUCCUUAUACAUGUAAAUUUGUUUCUUGCAUAAAAUAAUGGAGAGAGUUUGAUUACCGCCUCUACUAAAUGGUAGUGUGGGAUUUGAGGAAAGAGA